GCUUCUCUGCUGGGGAGCUGAGCGGGAUGCGUUCCUAACUUCUCUUUCUCUUCCAGCAAAACAACCAGUUCUGGUCAGUGGACUCCGGUAGCGUAAAGACCGGCAACGUGGGUGACGGCAGCUUUGACGACAACAAUCAAAACAACCAGUUCUAGUUAUCGCCCCCAGAAACGCGCCACCACAGCUGCCCUGAUGCUUUCUGCCCUGUGCUCUCCUGCGGGUCAGCCUGAAGAUGAGUAACACAGCACUCUCCUGUGAAAUUGACUUUUGCCAGCUCAGUGAUUUGACUGUCGGGUGCAGCUCUAACCCUCUCCUCCUCCUCAUGUCUUUGCAAUAAGGCAAAUAAAUCUAGUUCCACUCGACCCCCCCA